AAGCUUGUAUACAGGAAUCCACAUGUAAAGCUACAGAUUUCUCACUUCCUCACAGGACGUGUGGGAUCAUCUCCCAGAUGAACUACCAGUUCCUAAGUAUUUGUCUGAAGGUACGCUCUUUUGAAAAUCAAAACUAAGACCAGUUUGGACCCAGGACAUAACAGAGACCAUGGUCUGGCUUUAAACGGGCCGCUUUAAAUGAUUGUAUAUCUAGAAAACCCCAUUGUUUCAGCCCAAAAUCUCCUUAAGCUGAUAAGCAACUUCAGCAAAGUCUCAGGUACAAAAUCAAUGUACAAAAAUCACAAGCAUUCUUAAUACACCAAUAACAGACAAACAGAGAGCCAAAUCAUGAGUGAAUUCCCAUUCACAAUUGCUUCAAAGAGAAUAAAAUACCUAGGAAUCCACCUUACAAGGGACGUGAAGG
rnacentral:lncRNA from 1 species